rnacentral:rRNA from 1 species
UACGUAGGGUGCAAGCGUUAAUCGGAAUUACUGGGCGUAAAGGGCGCGUAGGCGGCGAUCCUAGUCAGAUGUGAAAGUCCUGGGCUUAACCUGGGGACUGCAUUUGAUACUGGAUUGCUUGAAUUCGGGAGAGGAUAGCGGAAUUCCCAGUGUAGAGGUGAAAUUCGUAGAUAUUGGGAAGAACACCGGUGGCGAAGGCGGCUAUCUGGACCGACAUUGACGCUGAGGCGCGAAAGCGUGGGGAGCAAACAGG